CGGGAAGUAGCUCAAUGGUAGAGCGACGAAAAAGCCGUAUGUUAGAGGUUCAAGUCCUCUCUUCCCGA
rnacentral:tRNA from 1 species